AUGAAUUUGAUUUAGUUUAGUGGCGGACGGGUGAGUAACGCGUGAGUAACCUGCCUUCAAGAGGGGGAUAACAUUCUGAAAAGAAUGCUAAUACCGCAUGAUAUAUCGGAACCACAUGGUUCUGAUAUCAAAGAUUUUAUCGCUUGAAGAUGGACUCGCGUCCGAUUAGUUAGUUGGUGAGGUAACGGCUCACCAAGACCGCGAUCGGUAGCCGGACUGAGAGGUUGAACGGCCACAUUGGGACUGAGACACGGCCCAGACUCCUACGGGAGGCAGCAGUGGGGGAUAUUGCGCAAUGGGGGCAACCCUGACGCAGCAACGCCGCGUGAAGGAUGAAGGUUUUCGGAUUGUAAACUUCUUUUAUUAAGGACGAAACUUGACGGUACUUAAUGAAUAAGCUCCGGCUAACUACGUGCCAGCAGCCGCGGUAAUACGUAGGGAGCAAGCGUUGUCCGGAUUUACUGGGUGUAAAGGGUGCGUACGCGGCUUUGCAAGUCAGAUGUGAAAUCUAUGGGCUCAACCCAUAAACUGC
rnacentral:rRNA from 1 species